rnacentral:misc_RNA from 1 species
AAGUCGUAACAAGGUAUCCGUAGGUGAACCUGCGGAUGGAUCAUUAUCACGUUAUCCACGUAUAAACCAAUCGUUGAACAGUUAUUGUUACCUUUGUUAGUAUGGAUUUUUUUGGGGAAACCCUAAAAAUCUUGAACACAAAGUGUAUUACUAUUCUAAUACUAUAUUAACCAAUCGAACCAUUUCUAUAAUGUUUUUCUUUGUGUGAACUGAAUUGUUUCUUACUCGUCAUUCACUUGGUGAGAAGAAAACUAUUUACGAAACAUAUCGAACAACUCUUAGCAACGGAUAUCUUGGUUCUC